rnacentral:rRNA from 1 species
CCUACGGGUGGCAGCAGUGAGGAAUAUUGGUCAAUGGGCGUAAGCCUGAACCAGCCAAGUCGCGUGAGGGAUGAAGGUUCUAUGGAUCGUAAACCUCUUUUAUAAGGGAAUAAAGUGUGGGACGUGUCCUAUUUUGUAUGUACCUUAUGAAUAAGGAUCGGCUAACUCCGUGCCAGCAGCCGCGGUAAUACGGAGGGUCCGAGCGUUCUCCGGAUUUAUUGGGUUUAAAGGGUGCGGAGGCGGCCUUUUAAUUCAGCGGUGAAAGUCUGUGGCUUAACCAUAGAAUUGCCGUUGAAACUGGGGGGCUUGAGUAUGUGUGAGGCAGGCGGAAUGCGUGGUGUAGCGGUGAAAUGCUUAGAUAUCACGCAGAACCCCGAUUGCGAAGGCAGCCUGCCAAGCCAUGACUGACGCUGAUGCACGAAAGCGUGGGGAUCAAACAGGAUUAGAUACCCCUGUAGUC